UACGGAGGGUGCAAGCGUUAUCCGGAUUCACUGGGUUUAAAGGGUGCGUAGGUGGGCAGGUAAGUCAGUGGUGAACUCCUGUAGCUUAACUACAGAACUGCCAUUGAUACUAUUUGUCUUGAAUACCCUGGAGGUGAGCGGAAUAUGUCAUGUAGCGGUGAAAUGCUUAGAUAUGACAUAGAACAUCUAUUGCGAAGGCAGCUCACUACGGGAAUAUUGACGCUGAGGCACGAAAGCGUGGGGAUCAAACAGG
rnacentral:rRNA from 1 species